AUGAUGAUGCUAUAAAAAAAAUUAAAAGACACACCAUUGAUCUUCAAAAGCCACUCWUACAAAAUAACCCAGGAUUCAGUAGGGUACAAGAUGCUGAGCUAAUGUCGAUGGCCGAUCCAGGUCUUUGUUUGAGCAUGCAUCAGCCAUAUGCAUCUCUCUUGUUACUUAACAUUAAAAGGCCGAACAUGGUUUACUUCACACCACGGAAGACUUUGAAUUGCAUCAACAGCUAAAAAACCCAGUCUAGAGGAAUUAAAACAAAUUGAGACGUUUUAUAAACAUUUAAAAGGAGAUAUUGAAUUUCCAAAACGAUAUUCAACUGGAUGUUUGUUGGGCUGUGUGAAUGUAGUGGAUUGUUUGUCUCAAGAAGAGUACAUUUCAAAAUGUCCUCAAGGAGAAAAUGAAAGUCCUUUUAUAUUUAUAUAUAAAGAUCCAAUCAUGAUGGCAAAUCAUUUUCCAAUUAAAGGACAACACAAAAUUUUUAAAUUACAUGAAACAGGAACAUCCUUUUCACAUGACAUUAUCAUCAGUCCUUUAAGCCUAUCUUCGCAYAUAGUACUUCAAAGACGUGUUUUGAUCAGCUUUAAUUUUGAAAACGCUCUCUCUGGCAAAGCACUUGGUAUUGGUAGUGUUAGAGCUAUGUAAAGUGCAGGAAAUACAUCAUUUAAUCCUGUAUUCCUGUCUUACAGCAUACAUUGUAUAACCUUGAUUUUCAACAUAAAAAUUAUCAUCGUCACUAUCUUGUUCAUUUUUUGUAUCAGAAUAGAGUACAUCUGUAAUGUCCUGUGUUUGUGUAAUUUUUUUGGUAAGGUUACAGAUUUUUCUAAUUCCAUAUAAACACUUGCAAAUUGGAUAUAUUCUCUUUUUAAAUCUGCUGCAGUUAUACAUUUCCCAUAUUAUACUUGUU